AUUGAACGCUGGCGGCAGGCCUAACAAAUGCAAGUCGAGCGGAUGAGGGUAGCUUGCUACCUGAUUCAGCGGCGGACGGGUGAGUAAUGCCUAGGAAUCUGCCCGAUAGUGGGGGACAACGUUUCGAAAGGAACGCUAAUACCGCAUACGUCCUACGGGAGAAAGUGGGGGAUCUUCGGACCUCACGCUAUCGGAUGAGCCUAGGUCGGAUUAGCUAGUUGGUGAGGUAAUGGCUCACCAAGGCUACGAUCCGUAUCUGGGCUGAGAGGAUGAUCAGGCACACUGGAACGGAGACACGGUCCACGCUCCUACGGGGGGAAGCAGUGGGGAAUAUUGGACAAUGGGCGCAAGCCUGAUCCAGCCAUGCCGCGUGUGUGAAGAAGGUCUUCGGAUUGUAAAGCACUUUAAGUUGGGAGGAAGGGCUGUAGGCUAAUAUCCUGCAGUUUUGACGUUACCAACAGAAUAAGCACCGGCUAACUUCGUGCCAGCAGCCGCAGUAA
rnacentral:rRNA from 1 species